AAGAAUUACAGCUGACAUCCACGUGGGCUAAAUACCUAUCAUCAUAAUUGUCUCUCACCUGAAUGCCUUUUACUGACGUGAUGUCACAAGUGGCCCUAAUCGCUGGCUCUAGCUUCCUUAACAUGCUCACAUGUUCGAAAUCUAAAUCUUAAAUUCUUCAGACCCUUUCCACAGGACUGAUUGGAAACCAGCUGAGAGAGUAAAUGAUAUAGUGGAAAGGGGGACGCAAUUAAAGAAAUCGGCGAAAGGAAGGUGGUCAUCACGAACCAUCCCAGCUGCUGGUCAACUCUGUUUAGUCAAGUCGGAAGAGAUGGAAUGGCAAGCAGGGAAGAAAGUGAAUCAAUGAUUCACCCAAUGGACAAAGAAACAUCACAGCGACUAUUUGGAAAAGUCAAAUGCGGGAAAGGAACAUUCUCAUCUAAAGGUGUGCUCUGACUUUAGAAAGGAAAACGUCCCACAAGAAAAUCAGGAAUUUUGUUGAAGUGCUCUGGUUGAACCUGCAGAAAGCAAUGGCAUGUUCCCUCUCUCCCUGCUUCUUCUGUUUUAUUGCUUUUGUGUUGUACUUCUAAAAUAAAUAUCAAUAAAUCAUUGCAGUUAGAUACUCUAAUAUAGACAGAAAUGUACUUGACUCCCUACAGUCAUUACAAUUGGAGGGGACUCUGAUUAGGAUGCUUUACUUAAUUAAGUGAUAUCGUCUAAAGAGAGUUCUUCCCUCCAUUUUCUGUUUAACAGUCUUAUAAAACACCAACAGAGGAAAUUCAUUCUGUUGUUUGCUUUCCUUAUUGUAAAUGGUUUAUUCUCAUUCAUAGUUUACA
rnacentral:lncRNA from 1 species